ensembl:sRNA
ACCGUGCCAGCGUGAGGGGCCCCGAAAGGGGAUGGGGGUGGGCGGUGGGGUGCAGCCCCCAAACAAAGAAAUGGGGU